rnacentral:rRNA from 1 species
CAGGGAUUGCCCCAGUAACGGCGAGUGAAGCGGCAACAGCUCAAAUUUGAAAUCUGGCCCCCAGGGCCCGAGUUGUAAUUUGCAGAGGAUGCUUUUGGCGCGGCGCCUUCCGAGUUCCCUGGAACGGGACGCCAUAGAGGGUGAGAGCCCCGUCUGGUCGGACGCCAAGCCAGUGUAAAGCUCCUUCGACGAGUCGAGUAGUUUGGGAAUGCUGCUCUAAAUGGGAGGUAUAUGUCUUCUAAAGCUAAAUAUAGGCCAGAGACCGAUAGCGCACAAGUAGAGUGAUCGAAAGAUGAAAAGCACUUUGAAAAGAGGGUUAAACAGUACGUGAAAUUGUUGAAAGGGAAGCACUUGUGACCAGACUUGGGCCCGGUGAAUCAUCCAGCGUUCUCGCUGGUGCACUUCGCCGGGCCCAGGCCAGCAUCAGUUCGCCGCGGGGGAUAAAAGCUUCGGGAACGUAGCUCCCUCGGGAGUGUUAUAGCCCGUUGCAUAAUACCCUGCGGUGGACUGAGGUUCGCGCUCCGCAAGGAUGCUGGCGUAAUGGUCACCAGUGACCCGUCUUGAAACACGGACCAAGGAGUCGUUUCGUAUGCGAGUGUUCGGGUGUCAAACCCCUACGCGUAAUGAAAGUGAACGCAGGUGAGAGCUUCGGCGCAUCAUCGACCGAUCCUGAUGUUCUCGGAUGGAUUUGAGUAAGAGCAUACGGGGCCGGACCCGAAAGAAGGUGAACUAUGCCUGUAUAGGGUGAAGCCAGAGGAAACUCUGGUGGAGGCUCGCAGCGGUUCUGACGUGCAAAUCGAUCGUCAAAUAUGGGCAUGGGGGCGAAAGACUAAUCGAACCUUCUAGUAGCUGGUUUCCGCCGAAGUUUCCCUCAGGAUAGCAGUGUUGAACUCAGUUUUAUGAGGUAAAGCGAAUGAUUAGGGACCCGGGGGCGCUCUUUAGCCUUCAUCCAUUCUCAAACUUUAAAUAUGUAAGAAGCCCUUGUUGCUUAAUUGAACGUGGGCAUUCGAAUGUAUCAACACUAGUGGGCCAUUUUUGGUAAGCAGAACUGGCGAUGCGGGAUGAACCGAACGCGAGGUUAAGGUGCCAGAGUAGACGCUCAUCAGACACCACAAAAGGCGUUAGUCAUCUUGACAGCAGACGUGGCCAUGGAAGUCGGAA